rnacentral:lncRNA from 1 species
UUCCUCUCUCCCCUCUCCCCCCUAGUUCCUCUCUCCCCUCUCCCCCUAGUUGCUCUCUCCCCUCUCCCCCUAGUUCCUCUCUCCCCUCUCCCCCUAGCUCCUCUCUCCCCUCUCCCCCUAGUUCCUCUCACCCCUCUCCCCCUCGCUCCUCUCUGCCUUCUCCCCCUCGCUCCUCUCUCCCCUCUCCCCCUAGCUCCUCUCUCCCCUCUCCCCCUAGUUCCUCUCACCCCUCUCCCCCUAGCUCCUCUCUGCCCUCUCCCCCUCGCUCCUCUCUCCACUCUCCCCCUCGCUCCUAUCUGCCUUCUCCCCCUCGCUCCUCUCUGCCUACUCCCCCUCGCUCCUCUCUCCCCUCUCCCCCUCGCUCCUCUCUCCCCUCUCCCCCUCGCUCCUCUCUGCCUUCUCCCCCUCGCUCCUCUCUGCCUUCUCCCCCUCGCUCCUCUCUGCCCUCUCCCUCUCGCUCCUCUCUGCCUUCUCCCCCUCGCUCCUCUCUGCCUUCUCCCCCUCGCUCCUCUCUCCCCUCUCCCCCUCGCUCCUCUCUGCCUUCUCCCCCUCGCUCCUCUGUGCCUUCUCCCCCUCGCUCCUCUCUGCCUUCUCCCCCUCGCUCCUCUCUGCCUUCUCCCCCUCGCUCCCUCUCUGCCUUCUCCCCCUCGCUCCUCUCUGCCCUCUCCCCCUCGCUCCUCUCUGCCUUCUCCCCCUCGCUCCUCUCUCCCCUCUCCCCCUAGUUCCUCUCUCCCCUCUCCCCCUAGCUCCUCUCUGCCUUCUCCCCCUAGCUCCUCUCUGCCUUCUCCCCCUCGCUCCUCUCUGCCUUCUCCCCCUCGCUCCUCUCUGCCUUCUCCCCCUCGCUCCUCUCUGCCUUCUCCCCCUCGCUCCUCUCUGCCUUCUCCCUCUCGCUCCUAUCUGGCUACUCCCCCUCGCUCCUCUCUGCCUUCUCCCCCUCGCUCCUCUCUGCCUUCUCCCCCUCGCUCCUCUCUGCCUUCUCCCCCUCGCUCCUCUCUCCCCUCUCCCCCUCGCUCCUCUCUGCCUUCUCCCCCUCGCUCCUCUCUCCCCUCUCCCCCUCGCUCCUCUCUCCCCUCUCCCCCUCGCUCCUCUCUGCCCUCUCCCCCUCGCUCCUCUCUGCCCUCUCCCCCUCGCUCCUCUCUGCCCUCUCCCCCUCGCUCCUCUCUGCCUUCUCCCCCUCGCUCCUCUCUGCCUUCUCCCCCUCGCUCCUCUCUGCCUUCUCCCCCUCGCUCCUCUCACCCCUCUCCCCCUCACUCCUCUCUGCCCUCUCCCCUCGCUCCUCUCUGCGCUCCGGCCGCUCUCCAACCCGCUCCAGAGACCGAGGUAGGGUGA